GAUCAAAAACCAAGGUUGGGGUUUUUACUGUUCUCUUAAAGAAGUUACUUAUGUAGAUUUGGUUAGAGAGUUUUAUCUGAAUCUGUGCUAUGGCAAUGGAACAGUAACUUCUACUAUUAAGGGAAUUGAUAUCUGCUUAGAUCCUAUUAUUUUGGGAGAAAUUCUUCAUUUGCCCUAUGAGGGAUAUUCAAACAUGAAACUCCCAGUGAAGGAAGAAGGGAUCAAUGUGAUUUUAGGAGGAACCUACUCGGGAAGCCUAAAUAAAUUAGAAGCCAAGAUCCUGUCAAUUGAAAUGAGAAUUCUACAUCAAUUGGUAACAAAGCUUUUCUUCCCGAGAAGUGGUAGACAUGACCUCCUUUCAGGCCGAGACAUAUGCAUAAUGUUUCAUGUGAUCACCCAAACCCCCUUAAACCUCCCUGCUUUAAUGAUUGAGGCCAUAAGAGAAACACUGAAU
rnacentral:lncRNA from 1 species